UUGGCAUCUGGUGGCUAUCCAAGAGCAGC
rnacentral:piRNA from 1 species